AUUUUGGGGUGAAUCACUGUAGUUACCGGUAAAUGAUCUCCAAAUGAAGAAAUAGCAUAAUUUUCAUCACCUGUUUGUCGGAAAGGGAUGUCUAAUGACCAAGCCCAUGGGUUUUAAAUUCACCAAAUCAUUUCACACUGGACGGCGCUCUCCCAUACCAAUGAUGUGCAGUGCGCAUUGGGCACCUUCAAAAAAAGCAUCAGUUAUUUGAGCUAAGACUAAGGCGGUCUUGACUUCUGAAGAAGACCUGGGUCCCUGCACCAGUCUGCUGCAUUGGGGUCCCUGCACCAGUCUGCUACAUUGGUUCCCGUGAUCCGGAUUAUGAAUUUGUUCUUAACUGACUUGCCUAGUUAAAUAAAGG
rnacentral:lncRNA from 1 species